rnacentral:rRNA from 1 species
AUACGUAGGUGACAAGCGUUAUCCGGAUUUACUGGGCGUAAAGGGCGUGUAGGCGGUCUUGCAAGUCAGAAGUGAAAUUCCUGAGCUCAACUCGGGCGCUGCUUCUGAAACUGCAGGACUUGAGUGCUGGAGGGGAUAGCGGAAUUCCUAGUGGAGCGGUAAAAUGCGCAGAUAUUAGGAAGAACUCCGGUGGCGAAGGCGGCUAUCUGGACAGUAACUGACGCUGAGGCGCGAAAGCGUGGGGAGCAAACAGGAUUAGAUACCCUGGUGGUCCACGCCGUAAACGAUGAAUACUAGGUGUAGGGGGUAUCGACUCCCUCUGUGCCGCAGUUAACACAAUAAGUAUUCCGCCUGGGGAGUACGGCCGCAAGGUUGAAACUCAAAUGAAUUGACGGGG